rnacentral:rRNA from 1 species
CAGAUUAAGCCAUGCAUGUCUAAGCAUAAGCUUAAAAAAAGUGAAGCCGCGAAUAGCUCAUUACAACAGCCGUUGUUUAUUAGAUCUUAUAUCCUACUUGGAUAACUGUGGUAAUUCUAGAGCUAAUACAUGCAACAAAACCCAGACCUCACGGAAUGGGUGCACUUAUUAGACUAAAACCAAUCGGGCUCCGGCUCGUCCAAUGGUGAAUCUGAAUAACUACGCUGAUCGCAUGGUCUUUGUACCAGCGAUAGAUCUUUCAAAUGUCUGUCCUAUCAACUUUCGAUGGUAGUUUACACGCCUACCAUGGUUGUAACGGGUAACGGAGAAUUUGGGUUCGACUCCGGAGAGGGAGCCUGAGAAACGGCUACCACAUCCAAGGAG